UAAUGAAUCUGAGGGGUAGACAUGUCUUUUGGGCGAUUUUGAGGGGAUGUCUUAAAACUCCCCAGCGUCAUAUAUUUCGGGACGGAGGGAGUGGAAGCUAGGAAUAAAUACAAUGCACCUUAAACCUUGUCUUUUGUGGAAAUGCACCUAAAUUUAACUAUGCCUUCUAAACCGUGACGGAGGUAGUAACAUAAGUGCUAUUUUGCCAAUGAAAAAUAAGUGACAGGUUGCGGUUUGACUAAUGAAAAAGGAUUGACAACCAACGGAAGUGUUAUUUUGCCAAUGAAAACAGAGAAGGAGUUCAUUUUUUAUAGUAGUACUUUGACAAGUUUGGUUUCUGGUAGUGGUAUUUUGGCUACUGUCUCGUUGUAUGACUAAGGACAGGUGUGGUAUUUUGGCUACUGUCUCAUUGUAUGACUAAGGACAGGUGCAUCCCCCCCACAUAAUGCAAUCGCUCAUACAUCACUGCAUACUGCCGAGGGCAGACUAUAUCAGCACACACAAACAUACUCAUUCAACAUUCCUACCUACAAAAACAUCCUCCUUUUGGGCCUCAGAUACGUCAAACCUUUCUUCAGGCCCGGCAUAGCAACCUGCUGCUGCUGCUGCUGCUGCUUGCCCCUCUUCUCCUCCCUCAACUUCUCUCUGCCUGCCGCCUCAGCUUGCU
rnacentral:lncRNA from 1 species